UCGUAACAAGGUCUCCGUUGGUGAACCAGCGGAGGGAUCAUUACUGAGUACUACACUCUCUACCCUUUGUGAACUAUUAUACCUGUUGCUUCGGCGGCGCCCGCAAGGGUGCCCGCCGGUCUCAUCAGAAUCUCUGUUUUCGAACCCGACGAUACUUCUGAGUGUUCUUAGCGAACUGUCAAAACUUUUAACAACGGAUCUCUUGGCUCCAGCAUCGAUGAAGAACGCAGCGAAACGCGAUAUGUAAUGUGAAUUGCAGAAUUCAGUGAAUCAUCGAAUCUUUGAACGCACAUGGCGCCUUCCAGUAUCCUGGGAGGCAUGCCUGUCCGAGCGUCGUUUCAACCCUCGAGCCCCUGUGGCCCGGCGUUGGGGAUCUGCCACGGCAGGCCCCUAAAACCAGUGGCGGACCCGAAGGGCCCUCUCCUUUGCGCAGUAGCAUUCGCCUCGCAUCGGGAGUCCUCGGCGUCCUGCCUCUAAACCCCCCACAAGCCCGCUUCGGCGGCACCAAGGUGACCUCGGAUCAGGUAGGAAUACCCGCUGAACUUAAGC
rnacentral:misc_RNA from 1 species